CUAACGCUCCGAGCGCCAGAGCCGCCCGGGCGCAGCCCGCCUCUGCGCGCCCGCGACCCACGUGACGUUGACUUUUGCUGAUGGAGCCUCUCUGAAGGGCAAAUUCAAAGUACAGCUGGGUGCUGCAGCACUGGAGUGCGAACUUGUGGCUGUGGUUAUGAAGGAGCCUCGUCAGCUAUGCCUUUAGCCCCUGGUGAAGCAGUGCCAGUCACACUUUGCCAGUCAAACGGAGAGGCAGCAGUAGUAAGACCAGACCAAAUCAAACCAAACCAAGCAAACCACGGGGAAUGGAGAAGGAAGAAAAAUCCUGCUGAAUCCAGGAGCUCUUGCUGUCCCUUUUGCCCUCACAUGAAACGUCUUUGUGGCUCAGACUCAAUGAGCUAUGGACCUGUGGACCCUGGUGGCAGUCACACAGUGUCAAGGGUAAGAGGCAGUAAUGUUUCAGAGAGAACAACCUUGCAAAAAUGAAGACAGAAAGGCAAGCCAGAUCUUCUUGCUUUGAUUGUGAGAUAAAGUUCCAACAGGUGCUGGGACUUAGGUCAAAAUUAUUAAUAGAAUGGAAACUCUAAUGAGAAUAGCAGAGUGAUGCUGGGAACUAAGACAUGGCUAGCG
rnacentral:lncRNA from 1 species